GGCAGGCACUCAUGCUUUCCCUCCUGGGCCUGCAUGCUACAUGCACUUUCCAGGGCAUUUAAAGGAGGCAAGUUCUUAAAGCUAUUUCUAGAGGACAGGUGUACCAUAUCAUGCGCUCUUUCCAAAGCAUUUUAAGGAGGCUUCCCACUUCCAGAUUUGAAACAUGGAAAUGAAAAUGCCUUGGUAAUGCUAGGUGCUUCCAGCAAAUACUUUGGCAUGAAGCAAAUGUCAUGUGGACCUCCAAAAGAAAAUUGGAAAGCACAAGUACAAAAUCCAGGCCUUUCAGGCAACCUUCGGAGUAUGUCCAAGUACUGAAAGGAGUGAUGAGGCAAAUCCUAAGAAAAUUCAGCCUACAAGAUCCUUGAGAAGACUGAACCUUGCCUUUCUCCCCUGAAAUCAACUGUCUUUAAUGAGGUCAGAACAAGACUGAAAAUUUGCAGAGCGUCUUGAAAAAACCCUCACUGUAGAUCUUCUGAUCACUACACCCAUCUAUUGAUUAUUUUCAGCUAGGUUCAGUACCUUCAUGAUGCAGUUGUUCAUAUGCAUAAAAUGCAGUGCAUUCAAAGAUAUUGGUAUAUGAUAUCUGGAGAGAAACAAUUAAUAGAAAGAGAAUUUAAGAACCCCGAGAUUUGCAAUUCUUUACAAUUUAAAGGAUAAUUCU
rnacentral:lncRNA from 11 species